UGAAUUGAAGCCCCAGUAAACGGCGGCCGUAACUAUAACGGUCCUAAGGUAGCGAAAUUCCUUGUCGGGUAAGUUCCGACCUGCACGAAUGGCGUAACGAUCUCCGCACUGUCUCGACCAGAGACUCAGUGAAAUUGAAUUGGCGGUGAAGAUGCCGUCUCCCCGCAGAAAGACGGAAAGACCCUGUGCACCUUUACUAUAGCUUGACAUUGGAUCUUGAACUAUCAUGUGUAGGAUAGGUGGGAGACUGUGAAGCGGGUACGCUAGUAUCUGUGGAGUCAACCUUGAAAUACCACCCUUGUUAGUUUAGGCUUCUAAUCCCUCGCCGUUAUCCGGCAGGGAAACAGUGUCUGGUGGGUAGUUUGACUGGGGCGGUCGCCUCCCAAAGAGUAACGGAGGCGCGCAAUGGUUCCCUCAGGCUGAUUGGAAACCAGCCGUCGAGUGCAAACGCAUAAGGGAGCUUGACUGCGAGACAGACAUGUCGAGCAGGUACGAAAGUAGGUGUUAGUGAUCCGGUGGUCCCGCAUGGAAGGGCCAUCGCUCAUCGGAUAAAAGGUACGCCGGGGAUAACAGGCUGAUCGCAUCCAAGAGUUCACAUCGACGAUGCGGUUUGGCACCUCGAUGUCGGCUCAUCACAUCCUGGGGCUGGAGCAGGUCCCAAGGGUACGGCUGUUCGCCGUUUAAAGUGGUACGCGAGCUGGGUUUAAAACGUCGUGAGACAGUUUGGUCCCUAUCUUCUGUGGGCGUAGGAGAAUUGAGUGGGUCUGUUCCUAGUACGAGAGGACCGGAAUGGACGAUUCCCUAGUGGACCUGUUGUCACGCCAGUGGCAUAGCAGGGUAGCUAUAAUCGGAAUGGAUAACCGCUGAAAGCAUCUAAGCGGGAAACCAGCCACAAGAUAAGUUCUCCCUUGUCGCAAGACACUGAAGAUCCCAGGUAGACCACCUGGUAGAUAGGCCGGAAGUGUAAGCGCAGUAAUGUGUUCAGCUGACCGGUACUAAUAGAUCGUGAGUCUUAACUCU
rnacentral:rRNA from 1 species